CAGAUCAUUUCUCUGAGCACCACACACUAGCACUCAGCUUUUCCAAAUACAAAUCAAGGCUGGUUACCUUAAUUACUCAUGGAUUUCUGCAGUGCACAGAACCAUUUGUGCUUUGAAGGUGUGCAACCAGCACAAAACCCAAAUGCCACAGAUGAGACCAGCCCCUGCAAAGGCUUCAGCUCCUGGGAAGACCAGGAAUAUCAAUUCCUCUGGAAGAGCUCACAUUCAGAAAUGCUCUGGGCAGAAUGCAUGAAUGCCACUGUCAUAAAAAUUAAUGGAAAGGAAAAAGAAAACAAACCAAACCUAAUUCCAGCCUGGUCAGACUAAUGAUGUGCGUGAUGUUAAAUGAAACCAGAGGAGUGAACAUGCAAAGGUGACCAACACUAAAAUGAGAUCCCAGCUCCCAAACCCAAUCUGGCAGAAGGCUUUCACCACAGAUUCACUGCACAUCCACUCCCAAAGUGGGCUCAGGGCUGACACCAGAGCUGAGGCUCAUACAGCCUGAGUGCCACUGAUACAAGCUGAUACAAGCUCUUACAACAUUCAAUAUCUAACUUCUAGGCUGUAUGCAAGGCGGAAAUUGCAUAUCCUUACUUGUCCCAUGGAGGGAUCACUCAGCUAAUUUCAUUAAAGCUUACUAAAGGCUGCAAAAUUUGGAGCAAAUGCUGUAUAAAAAAUAAUUAUUAGGACUUACAGUCAUGAGUGUAUGAUGAAAGGAAGAGAGGGUAAAAGACUGAUAAGCACCUUCUGAAUUUCUAGAUCUGCUCAGAUAAUUUGUUCUGAUUAUACAUGAACACCCUCUGUGGGAAAAAAAAACCCAACAAAACCACACCAUGACAAUUACAAUCUGUGAACCAGUGAUGUGAAAACUACAUCAUUCAUA